UCCUACGGGAGGCAGCAGUAGGGAAUCUUCCGCAAUGGACGAAAGUCUGACGGAGCAACGCCGCGUGAGUGAUGAAGGUUUUCGGAUCGUAAAGCUCUGUUGUUAGGGAAGAACAAGUGCGAGAGUAACUGCUCGCACCUUGACGGUACCUAACCAGAAAGCCACGGCUAACUGCGUGCCAGCAGCCGCGGUAAUACGUAGGUGGCAAGCGUUGUCCGGAAUUAUUGGGCGUAAAGGGCUCGCAGGCGGUUUCUUAAGUCUGAUGUGAAAGCCCCCGGCUCAACCGGGGAGGGUCAUUGGAAACUGGGAAACUUGAGUGCAGAAGAGGAGAGUGGAAUUCCACGUGUAGCGGUGAAAUGCGUAGAGAUGUGGAGGAACACCAGUGGCGAAGGCGACUCUCUGGUCUGUAACUGACGCUGAGGAGCGAAAGCGUGGGGAGCGAACAGGAUUAGAUACCCUGGUAGUCCACGCCGUCAACGAUGAGUGCUAAGUGUUAGGGGGUUUCCGCCCCUUAGUGCUGCAGCUAACGCAUUAAGCACUCCGCCUGGGGAGUACGGUCGCAAGACUGAAACUCAAAUGAAUUGACGGA
rnacentral:rRNA from 1 species